rnacentral:rRNA from 1 species
AACGAACGCUGGCGGCAUGCCUAACACAUGCAAGUCGAACGAGACCUUCGGGUCUAGUGGCGAACGGGUGCGUAACGCGUGGGAACCUGCCCUUAGGUUCGGAAUAACUCCCCGAAAGGGGUGCUAAUACCGGUUAAUGUCUUCCGACCAAAGAUUUAUCGCCUUUGGAUGGGCCCGCGUUGGAUUAGCUAGUUGGUAGGGUAAAAGCCUACCAAGGCGACGAUCCAUAGCUGGUCUGAGAGGAUGAUCAGCCACACUGGGACUGAGACACGGCCCAGACUCCUACGGGAGGCAGCAGUGGGGAAUAUUGGACAAUGGGCGAAAGCCUGAUCCAGCAAUGCCGCGUGAGUGAUGAAGGCCUUAGGGUUGUAAAGCUCUUUUACCCGGGAUGAUAAUGACAGUACCGGGAGAAUAAGCUCCGGCUAACUCCGUG